GAUGAACGCUGGCGGCAUGCCUAAUACAUGCAAGUCGAACGAGAGGAAGGAAAGCUUGCUUUUCUGAAUCUAGUGGCGAACGGGUGAGUAACACGUAGGUAACCUGCCCAUGUGCCCGGGAUAACUUCUGGAAACGGAUGCUAAAACCGGAUAGGUAGCAGACAAGCAUUUGACUGCUAUUAAAGCGGCCAAGGCCAUGCACAUGGACGGCCCUGCGGUGCAUUAGCGAGUUGGUGAGGUAACGGCCCACCAAGGCGACGAUGCAUAGCCGGCCUGAGAGGGCGGACGGCCACAUUGGGACUGAGACACGGCCCAAACUCCUACGGGAGGCAGCAGUAGGGAAUUUUCGUCAAUGGGGGGAACCCUGAACGAGCAAUGCCGCGUGAGUGAGGAAGGUCUUCGGAUCGUAAAGCUCUGUUGUAAGAGAAAAACGACAUUCAUAGGGAAUGAUGAGUGAGUGAUGGUAUCUUACCAGAAAGUCACGGCUAACUACGUGCCAGCAGCCGCUGUAAAAC
rnacentral:rRNA from 1 species